UUGUUUGCUCUGAAGGCUGAGUACAUUUCGCCGUGACUGCUAUCUUCUUGUUUGUAUUGAGUACGGUUCACACGUGCAUUGAUGCAAUCGUUUUUAUUCGUUAAAAUUACAUUGGUUUAAAUCAUUUUUGCGGCGAGUGCGACAAAUUUGUGGUGGACUUAUUGCCAUUCUUUCAUGUUUGAACUAAACAAAUUCAAUAUUGAACCAACGUUAUUGAUACUCUCUUAAUGGGCAUCUGAAUACAAGAUUCAGAUGAAAUUCACCACAUAAUUCAAUCGGCGAGAGCAAAUGUUCUUCACUAUUAACAUACUACAGGGUGGCUGACAUGAACUGCAAAAAACUAAAAAGCUAUAACUUUUUUAUUUGUGAACAUUUUUAUUGAUUCCAAAGGCAAAAGUUAUCGGGAAAUAGGCAAAAUUUAAGAAUCCAUCAAUCAAUUUCAAUAUGGUCUCCUUCAUAUGACCUGGCUGGCAAGUAGACUCUAUCAUUUUGUUUGUUUACAUGUUGCUCGAUUGAAAUUGGCAUCUCAUCAGAGAACACGAUGUUCGGAAUCUGGCCACGUUCGUGCAAGCGAAGCAAUUCCUUCGCUCUUUCCACUCUAGUUUUUUUUUGAUCGGUUGUAAGAUCGUGCCGUUUUUGGAAUUUUAAGGGUUUGAGUUCAAGUUUGUUUUUGACUAUGUGUUGCAUCCGUUCUCUCGAAAUAUUCAGCUCAGCAGCCAUUUUUCUUCCGCUGCGGCGUGGAUUUCGCUCAAUUCGAGCCUUCACUUUCCGAGCCAUUUCUGGCGAAGUGGCAGUUCUUUUCGGACCACCUCCAUAGCGUUUUGCAAUGCUGCCAGUAUUGUUGUAACGAGCUAUGGUUCGAGACACAAAGGAUGGAGUCACUUUAAGGUGGUGCAGUUGUCUAACGAUAGCAGCUUGUGCCUUUCCAGCCAAAUAAAGUGCAAUCACACUAUUACGUUUGAAUUCCAUCACGGAAAAAUUUGUUCAGACAAAACUAAGACGUAAAUGCUUCUGCAGUCUUGUAAACAAUAGAAUGAACAGUCAACAGACGAAUUUUGACAAAGCUGUCAUCAGCGGAUCGUCAGAUAUACUGCCCUGAAAUUUGUUGCAGUUCAUGUCAGCCACCCUGUACUAAAUCAUAUUUAGAAAAUAAAAAUGAAUUUUCUCCAACCGGUUGCAAAAUAAUCGAGGCCAACUUCAUGCAGUUUUAUCAUCAAUCAGCAGAUUUGUAUUGCGUCGCUUUAGCAUUAACAAAACAAACAACGAACUGUCGAAUUCGCAAAAUCUAAUUUUGUGUAAAAAUUGAUCACAUUCAGAAGUGCUGAAACAUCAAGCAUCAGAAUAAGCGAACACCAGAUGAAUUACAACAUGAAUCGUAAUCCAAACAAUGCAGUUGAGCACAAUCAAAUGGAAGUGGGCGAUGAUGGUUCCAAUGCCAUGAAUUCUUCAUCUUCUUCUGUGGUCAAUGUCAAAGAAGCAAAUCAACAGCGCGCACCGAAUGUUCCAAAGCAUCCACCACUCUUUGAAUGCGACAUCGAUUGUUUCCAAGAAAUCUUCGAAUGGCUCACAUUCACCCGGCAAUAUUCUGUCAAUUUUUCUAUGUAAAACAUUGAGUGUGAAAUAGUAGAGCGCCACUACUGGAGAACGGCAGAAUGCGAAAGAAAAAAUUUCAAAUUUGUUCGCGCUCAAAUUCAUUCCGUCAUAUUCAUUUUUGUUUUGAUGUCGAAACAGUGAAAAAAAUAAAAAAAAUAAAUUUGAAAUAAAAUAAAAUACAAUUUAAAUUAAA